rnacentral:rRNA from 1 species
GACUGAGACACGGCCCAGACUCCUACGGGAGGCAGCAGUGGGGAAUAUUGCACAAUGGGCGCAAGCCUGAUGCAGCAACGCCGCGUGAGGGACGACGGCCUUCGGGUUGUAAACCUUCUUUUAGCAGGGAAGAAGCGAGAGUGACGGUACCUGCAGAAAAAGCACCGGCUAACUACGUGCCAGCAGCCGCGGUAAUACGUAGGGUGCAAGCGUUGUCCGGAAUUAUUGGGCGUAAAGAGAUCGUAGGCGGUCUGUCGCGUCUGCUGUGAAAACCCGAGGCUCAACCUCGGGCUUGCAGUGGGUACGGGCAGACUAGAGUGCGGUAGGGGAGAUUGGAAUUCCUGGUGUAGCGGUGGAAUGCGCAGAUAUCAGGAGGAACACCGAUGGCGAAGGCAGAUCUCUGGGCCGUAACUGACGCUGAGGAGCGAAAGCGUGGGGGAGCAAACAGGCUUAAAAUACCCUGGUAGUCCACGCCGUAAACGUUGGGAACUAGAUGUGGGGACCAUUCCACGGGUCUCCGUGGUCGUAGCUAACGCAUUAAGUUCCCCCCCUGGGGGGGUACGUCCGCAGGGUUAAAACUCAAAGGAAUUGACAGGGGGCCCCCCCAUUCCCCGAGACAGAGCGGAUUAAUUCCUAUACAACGCUUAUAACCUUACCAAUGCUUGGGCGUAUUCCAAAAACCGCGCUGGAGACAGCGAACUCUUUGUGACACUCGUAUUCAGGUUG